ensembl:lncRNA
ACGCAUGGAUAGUGAGUUUAGUGCGUCCUUUCAGAUUGUAAUGCGUCAGGGACGCAGGACGCGUACCUAGCAACAUCACUGCUUGUUGACGCUGCAGAUUAGCUCGUUUCGGAUGAAAGGCGCUGGUCCGAAGCGAGUUAUAUACGCCGUUUUGUCCCUUCCAGCAGUAAAGGUGCUCGCGAUUUGAGAGUCAGGGAACAUCAAACCGAAGAGAUCUCCUAUCCCCUCAUUUGAGUUGUAGGACUGGUGCUUGACCACUGUGUUUAGAAUCCACAACACCUCCGCUUUCAGUGUUGGUGUCGCACCAAAUGCUACCCUCAGGUCAGUGCUAGCAGCGCGGACCGUCUGCGGCGGUUUCAAUGCAAAGACGCGUGAUGCGGCGUGAUGACACGCCGCUCCUGUCUCCUAGCUAAAAAAUGGAGCCAGACAUUUGUCAAUUUUUUUAUAUUUUAUUGGAGGAGUUAUUGAAUGUUCACCACCGAGGCCGGCGGGUGAUAUAUCUCCGGUUCAGAGGAAGAGACGACCAAAGAUUGCCCAGACCACUGAAAAAAAUAACUUGACCCCUCAAAAAGAACUUAGUGACAAGGCAGCUGUCGAUUCAGUCAGCCCUGAAAACCCAUUCGGUGAAGAUGCGGUGGACAGUGGAGAGAGGCGUCUCCAACACACUCUGGAGACCACCCCUGGAUGUCCCACUCACAGGAGAGACACCAGGGUCUUUAUUGUGGCAGCCCAUCCAGGUCCAGCAGCACCAGCACCAGCACCAGGAGCUCCCUGCUCUGCUCAAUUAUGUUUUUUUUUUUUAAUAGUUGUAUUGUAAAUAGUUGUAAAUAGUUACAUGAAACCAUGCAACUGCAGUUAGGGUUUUCAAAAUAAACAAUGAGCUGAAAUAUAACAGAACUUUAUUAACACUUUCUUAUUGAACAAUUCAUUACGAACAAUUACUUGUCAGCUAUUCUCUCUAAAAUAGAGAAAAGCCUCUCCAUUCUUUCACUGCUCUCCUGGGCUCUUCUUUCCUCUGCCUCCCUUUGGAACCUCAGGUCCUCUUUUAAGAGGUCUAGAAGUUCUUCAUCUCUGUCCCGUUUCCUCUGCCUGGACCGUUGCCCUAGCUGUCUUUCCUCCUCCUCGUCCUCCACCUCCUGAUCCACAAUUGCUGUACUUGGCCCUGGUGUAUCCUCAGGGAUGGAGGCAAUUAGGACAGGGGGGUGAUGGAAUGCUUCUGUCCCAAUACCUCAUCCAUGAGGACAAACCAGGGCCAAGUGGCAGCAGUGGGUUUCCCACCUACUCCCUCUCCUGACCCUGGAAACUUUCAAUCCUAAGGCAGAGGAAAUCAAUCAUGGCAGUUAACCACAACAGCAGUAGCAAAACAAAUUUCAGC